rnacentral:rRNA from 1 species
AUCUUCCGCAAUGGACGAAAGUCUGACGGAGCAACGCCGCGUGAGUGAAGAAGGUUUUCGGAUCGNACAGCUCUGUCUUCAGGGACNAACGUGCUUUUUGUGAAUAAUGAGAAGCAAUGACGGUACCUGAGGAGGAAGCCACGGCUAACUACGUGCCAGCAGCCGCGGUAAUACGUAGGUGGCAAGCGUUGUCCGGAAUUAUUGGGCGUAAAGAGCGCGUAGGCGGGAUAACAAGUCUGUUUUAAAAGUGCGGGGCUCAACCCCGUGAUGGAAUGGAAACUGUUAUUCUUGAGUGCAGGAGAGGAAAGUGGAAUUCCCAGUGUAGCGGUGAAAUGCGUAGAUAUUGGGAGGAACACCAGUGGCGAAGGCGACUUUCUGGACUGUGUCUGACGCUGAGGCGCGAAAGCCAGGGUAGUGAACGGG